UAAGAGUUCUAUAACUCCCAAACCCAUGUGAACAUACCUUACGUUGCCUCGGCAGGUCGCGCCUACCUAGUAGCACCCUACCCUGUAGGGCCUACCCGGGAGACGCGGGUAAGCCUGCCGGCGGCCCACGAAACUCUGUUUAAUAUUGAAUUCUGAACAUAUAACUAAAUAAGUUAAAACUUUCAACAACGGAUCUCUUGGUUCUGGCAUCGAUGAAGAACGCAGCGAAAUGCGAUAAGUAAUGUGAAUUGCAGAAUUCAGUGAAUCAUCGAAUCUUUGAACGCACAUUGCGCCCAUUAGUAUUCUAGUGGGCAUGCCUGUUCGAGCGUCAUUUCAACCCUCAAGCCUCUGUUGCUUAGUGUUGGGAGCCUACAGCACCUGUAGCUCCCCAAAGUUAGUGGCGGAGUCGGUUCACACUCUAGACGUAGUAAUUUUAUCUCGCCUAUUAGUUGGACUGGUCUCCCGCCGUAAAACCCCUAUAUUUUAAAGGUGA
rnacentral:rRNA from 1 species